UCUCGCCCACCCCAGCGCCCUGGGGCAACGCCCCGCUGCCGAUGCUCACCGAAGACCAGGAUGUUCUUGCCGGACGGCAGCUUCGACCUGGCACGGGUGGACACUUCGCUCAGAAUGGAGGACCUGCGGCGACAAUGAUGAGGAACCUGAAGCUCAGAAAAUUUAAGAAACCCACCUAAGGACCCAAGGCUAGAAAAUAACAUUCGAUACUUCUAUUUUAUUCCCCAACCCUGGACUAUUAUAUCAUCAACUUGGCCUAACCCUACUCAAGCCCUGCACUGAAAGACCAGCCUUAAGCAAGACGCCAGAAUCCUCAUAAAUAUCCUGCUUUUCCCCUUCCUCCUCGGAAGACUAAAGACUGAGUACCAGGUAGGCGGAUGCUGCAGAUACAGCAAAUGCAGAUUUCAACAGGGCAUUUGACAAUUCACAUCUUAGAUGCGAAAGUGAAAUCAAUGCUGGAUGAUAGCAUUGAGGCUUAUUAAAGACUAGCCCAGAGGUGCCUGAUGAAGAGGAGGGACCAGCAGAAGAGGCUGCUAGGGGCCUGUCCAAACCUCCUGCCUUGGCCAGCCAAUUCAGGGUGCCAUCAGUGACUUGGAUAAGAAUACAGCAGCAGUAAUGGAAGUUGUGGAUGACCUGAAGCAGGAAGGGUUGCCUUAUCUACUGCUUGACAAACUGAGCAGAGACUAAAUCUAACAAGAUGAAAUUUAGU